CUACGGGCUGCUCCAGUGGGGAAUAUUGCACAAUGGAGGAAACUCUGAUGCAGCAACGCCGCGUGGAGGAUGACACUUUUCGGAGCGUAAACUCCUUUUAUAUAGGAAGAAGAUGACGGUACUAUAUGAAUAAGCGCCGGCUAACUCCGGUGCCAGCAGCCGCGGUAAUACGGAGGGCGCAAGCGUUACUCGGAAUCACUGGGCGUAAAGAGAGUGUAGGCGGAUUAAAAAGUCAGAAGUGAAAUCCUAUAGCUUAACUAUAGAACUGCUUCUGAAACUCUUAAUCUAGAAUAUGGGAGAGGUAGAUGGAAUUUCUGGUGUAGGGGUAAAAUCCGUAGAGAUCAGAAGGAAUACCGAUUGCGAAGGCGAUCUACUAGAACAUUAUUGACGCUGAGACGCGAAAGCGUGGGGAGCAAACAGGAUUAGAUACCCCCGUAGUC
rnacentral:rRNA from 1 species